rnacentral:rRNA from 1 species
UACGUAGGGGGCAAGCGUUGUCCGGAAUCAUUGGGCGUAAAGAGCGUGUAGGCGGUCCGAUAAGUCCGCUCUGAAAGCCCGGGGCUCAACCCCGGGAGGCGGGUGGAUACUGCUCAGCUCGAGUCCGGAAGAGGAGUGUGGAAUUCCUGGUGUAGCGGUGAAAUGCGCAGAUAUCGGGAAGAACACCCGUGGCGAAGGCGGCUCUCUGGGACGGUACUGACGGCGUGAGACGGCGAAAAGCGGUGG